UACGUAGGGGGCGAGCGUUAUCCGGAAUUACUGGGUGUAAAGGGAGCGUAGACGGCGAGGUAAGCCUGAAGUGGAAGCCUGCGGCCCAACCGCGGAACUGCUUUGGGAACUGUUUUGCUGGAGUAUGGGAGGGGUAAGCGGAAUUCCUGGUGUAGCGGUGAAAUGCGUAGAUAUCAGGAGGAACACCGGUGGCGAAGGCGGCUUACUGGACCAUAACUGACGUUGAGGCUCGAAAGCGUGGGGAGCGAACAGG
rnacentral:rRNA from 1 species